rnacentral:rRNA from 1 species
AGGAGGUCCAGCCUGCCCAGUGACGUUCAACGGCCGCGGUAUCCUAACCGUGCGAAGGUAGCGUAAUCACUUGUUUUCUAAAUAAAGACUAGUAUGAAAGGCACCACGAGGGCUAAACUGUCUCCUCUUUCUAAUCAGUGAACCUAACCUCCCCGUGAAAAGGCGGGGAUUUUAUUAUAAGACGAGAAGACCCUAUGGAGCUUAAAACGUUACUACAUUUGCACAAUGUCUAUAUGUUUUCGGUUGGGGUGACCACGGAGAAAAAUUCAUCCUCCGUAAUGAAUAACAACAAGCUACAGCUUUAUGUAUCAACAAAUUGACAUCCAUUGACCCAAUAUAUUGAUUAAUGAACCAAGUUACCCUAGGGAUAACAGCGCAAUCCACUUUGAGAGCCCCUAUCGACAAGUGGGCUUACGACCUCGAUGUUGGAUCAGGGUACCCAGGUGGUGCAGCCGCUACUAAAGGUUCGUUUGUUCAACGAUUAAAACCCU